AUUGAACGCUGGCGGCAGGCCUAACACAUGCAAGUCGAACGGCAGCGGGGGGUAGCUUGCUACCCCGCCGGCGAGUGGCGGACGGGUGAGUAAUGCCUGGGGAGCUGCCCAAUCGAGGGGGAUACCAGUUGGAAACGACUGCUAAUACCGCAUACGCCCUGAGGGGGAAAGGUGGGGAUCUUCGGACCUACCGCGAUUGGAUGCACCCAGGUGGGAUUAGCUAGUUGGUGAGGUAACGGCUCACCAAGGCGACGAUCUCUAGCUGGUCUGGAAGGAUGACCAGCCACACUGGAACUGAGACACGGUCCAGACUCCUACGGGAGGCAGCAGUGGGGAAUAUUGCACAAUGGGGGAAACCCUGAUGCAGCCAUGCCGCGUGUGUGAAGAGGGCCUUCGGGUUGUAAAGCACUUUCAGCGAGGAGGAAAGGUUGGCAGCUAAUACCUGUCAGCUGUGACGUUACUCGCAGAAGAAGCACCGGCUAACUCCGUGCCAGCAGCCGCCGUAA
rnacentral:rRNA from 1 species